GGGGUGAGCGGCGGACGGGUUAGUAACGCGUGGGAAUAUGCCCGACACUAAGGAAUAGCCUCUGGAAACGGAGAGUAAUACCUUAUACGCCCUUCGGGGGAAAGAUUUAUCGGUGACGGAUUAGCCCGCGUUAGAUUAGAUAGUUGGUGGGGUAAUGGCCUACCAAGUCUACGAUCUAUAGCUGGUUUUAGAGGAUGAUCAGCAACACUGGGACUGAGACACGGCCCAGACUCCUACGGGAGGCAGCAGUGGGGAAUCUUGGACAAUGGGCGCAAGCCUGAUCCAGCCAUGCCGCGUGAGUGAUGAAGGCCUUAGGGUCGUAAAGCUCUUUCGCCAGAGAUGAUAAUGACAGUAUCUGGUAAAGAAACCCCGGCUAACUCCGUGCCAGCAGCCGCGGUAAUACGGAGGGGGUUAGCGUUGUUCGGAAUUACUGGGCGUAAAGCGCGCGUAGGCGGAUUAGUCAGUUAGAGGUGAAAUCUCGGGGCUCAACCCCGGAACUGCCUUUAAUACUGCUAGUCUUGAGUUCGAGAGAGGUGAGUGGAAUUCCGAGUGUAGAGGUGAAAUUCGUAGAUAUUCGGAGGAACACCAGUGGCGAAGGCGGCUCACUGGCUCGAUACUGACGCUGAGGUGCGAAAGUGUGGGGAGCAAACAGGAUUAGAUACCCUGGUAGUCCACACCGUAAACGAUGAAUGCCAGUCGUCGGGUAGCAUGCUAUUCGGUGACA
rnacentral:rRNA from 1 species